rnacentral:rRNA from 1 species
AUUGAACGCUGGCGGCAGGCCUAACACAUGCAAGUCGAGCGGAGCGGCGGACGGGCGAGUAAUGCCUAGGAAUCUGCCUGGUCGUGGGGGAUAACGUCCGGAAACGGGCGCUAAUACCGCAUACUAUCAGAUGAGCCUAGGGAGGAUUAGCUAGUUGGUGGGGUAACGGUCUACCAAGGCGACGAUCCGUAACUGGUCUGAGAGGAUGAUCAGUCAAACUGGAACUGAGACACGGGCCAGACCCCUGCGGGAGGCAGCAGGGGGGAAUAUUGGACAAUGGGCGAAAGCCUGAUCCAGCCAUGCCGGGGGUGUGAAGAAGGUCUUCGGAUUGUAAAGCACUUUAAGUUGGGAGGCGUUACCAACAGAAUAAGCACCGGGUAACUUCGUGCCAGCAGCCGCGGUAUAC